rnacentral:hammerhead_ribozyme from 1 species
AUCCAGAUGACGAGUCCCAAAUAGGACAAACGCGUGUCCUGGAU